UGGGGAAUUUUGGACAAUGGGCGAAAGCCUGAUCCAGCAAUGCCGCGUGUGUGAAGAAGGCCUUCGGGUUGUAAAGCACUUUUGUCCGGAAAGAAAUCCUUGGUUCUAAUAUAGCCGGGGGAUGACGGUACCGGAAGAAUAAGCACCGGCUAACUACGUGCCAGCAGCCGCGGUAAUACGUAGGGUGCGAGCGUUAAUCGGAAUUACUGGGCGUAAAGCGUGCGCAGGCGGUUUGCUAAGACCGAUGUGAAAUCCCCGGGCUCAACCUGGGAACUGCAUUGGUGACUGGCAGGCUAGAGUAUGGCAGAGGGGGGUAGAAUUCCACGUGUAGCAGUGAAAUGCGUAGAGAUGUGGAGGAAUACCGAUGGCGAAGGCAGCCCCCUGGGCCAAUACUGACGCUCAUGCACGAAAGCGUGGGGAGCAAACAGGAUUAGAUACCCUGGUAGUCCACGCCCUAAACGAUGUCAACUAGUUGUUGGGGAUUCAUUUCCUUAGUAACGUAGCUAACGCGUGAAGUUGACCGCCUGGGGAGUACGGUCGCAAGAUUA
rnacentral:rRNA from 2 species